UUUGGGGGUUAGCAAGCCUGGGUCCAAUGCCACCUCAGGCACCCACUAUCUGAGGGCAAAGGCUCCUGGCUUUUCUGGCCUCGGUUUCCUGAGCAAUAGGGAGAGUUGUAAUCACUACCUCCUUGGCCUUUAGGGUGAGUAGAGCUGACACAUACAGAGCUCCAGCAAGGUACCCAGGCCCUAGGAAGCACUCAGCAAACACAAUCAUCACCCUGGGAAGAUGGCGAGAAGAGAGUGGGCAAUUUGUGCACCAAAAGAAUAGCCAGAUCUGUGGGGGCAUUUCUCCCUGACAUAUUGAUACCAAGCCCAGCCUUGAUUUUCCAGGGGAUGCCCCACUCCUUAUUGUAAGGUCUCUGUUCUGACCUCUGGUAUCCCCUCAGGGACCCUUCAGGCCAUGAGUUCAAAUGCCUGGGAAGCCCACCUCACAGGAGCCUCAAGUCCCAUCCGUCUUGUUCCCAAGUCUGGCAGGAUCCUGACAGCCCCAUGCAUGUGCCUGUCCUCGGACCCCUGCAGAGGGCUGGGUGCAGACCUUGGCAGGAGUAGGCUGGCAGGCAGUCUCUUUCCUUCCCAGGCAGACGUGUGUGUAGCAAGUAUGUUUAUCAGGCAACGCCUUGUAGCCAGCGGUGGCGGCUUAACAGUGGCAGAAACGCCCGCAUUGCCUCACCAGCUGCUGGGUACUAAGAUGCGCCCUUGGCCUCAGCUGGCAGAUAAGCACCUGCAUUGGAGAGGGAACCCUUGAUCAUGGGCUGAUAAGUGCAGGGAAGAAACAACAACAACAACAAGAAAAAGCUGAGCAACCCGCCGUGGAAGGCUUUUUCAUGUACGCAUGGGCGUGUUUCUUGUCUUCGCCAACACACAGGUGAUGCAAAAGCUCUGAUUCUAAUUUAAUUUGGUGGUCACACAAUCAUGGAAUGAGAGCAUGUCAGAGCUGGAAGGGACUCUGGGGAUUGUCUGGUUGAACUCUUUAAUCUUCCAGGUGAGGACAGUGAGGGCCACAGAGCUGUACCGACUUGUUCAGGAUCAUCCAGCAAAGUUUUGGUGGAGCUGGAACUAAACCCGAGGGUCUCGAGACCCUCGGGCCUGCGAUCUUUCCAUCAUAUGGGAUUGCUUCACAGGCUGCCACCUGAUCGCUUAGGUGCAGACCGCAGGUUGCCCUUUGGUGCCUUAACAGUCCUCUUUAAUAUCACUAAUUGGCCCUGUCUGCCUGCAGAGUCAGAUAGAUGCCCCCUGUCCCUGCUUCUCCCCCACCACAUGCCAGCUAUUGGGGUUGACCAGUUAGCUCAAGGCCACAGGGUCUGAUGCUACUGUUUCAAACACUGUUAUUUCAUAUUUUGAAAAAGCAAGGUUCAGAUAAGAGAGGCAACUUGCCUAGGUGAUACAGCUAGAGAAAGUGAAAGACCUGGGUCUAAAAUUUUCAGGUUCCUCAUUUCAGUUCUUUCCAUACAUAGUGUAUGAAACCCAGGUGUGGGUGAAGGUGGGCAGAAGGGCACCCGGCCUCUGCAACUUUCCCCUGUGACCUGGUUUUGGGGAAGAGUUGCACAUGUUUCCUCAAGGACAGAAAUGGAGUCUGGCAAGACUUUGUAUUGAAAAUCUUAUUGUUCUCAGUAGGGGCCUCCUAAGCAAUGGGUAUAGAUAAAUGAAUGAAUCCUUUUUGUUUGUUUGUUUUUUUGAGAUGGAGUCUUACUCCAUUGCCCAGGCUGGGGUGUGAUGAUCCGAUCUCAGCUCACUGCAACCUCCAUCUCCUGGGUUCAAGCAAUUCUCCUGUCUCAGCUUCCCCAGUAGCUGGGACCACAGGCAUGUGCCACCAUGCCUAGCUAAGUUUUAUAUUUUUUUUAGUAGAGAGGGGUUUUCACC
rnacentral:lncRNA from 1 species